UACGAAGGGGGCUAGCGUUGUCCGGAUUUAUUGGGCGUAAAGAGCGUGUAGGCGGCCGUACAGGUCAGCUGUGAAAACUCGAGGCUCAACCUCGAGACGUCGGUUGAAACCGUACGGCUAGAGUCCGGAAGAGGAGAGUGGAAUUCCCGGUGUAGCGGUGAAAUGCGCAGAUAUCGGGAAGAACACCCGUGGCGAAGGCGACUACCUGGCCUGUUCUUGACGCUGAGGCGCGAAAGCUAGGGGAGCAAACGGG
rnacentral:rRNA from 1 species